GGAGGGGAGGUCAUUGGAGGGCAGAGGAUGUAGCUGCCGUCAGGACAUGUGGCCGCCAAGAGCGGAAGGAUCGCACUGGGGGCUUCCGCAGGUAGUGGCCUUGAUGGAUUAGGGACGCUGGGACAGGAGCCAGGCAGCUUGAGGGUCUAAACAAGGGCUUGAAGAGGACAGAAGUGUCAGAGCCAUCCCCCACCUAUCCCUGGCACCCCCGGGGCUUCCAAGUGGAGCAAGCUGAGGACCCAGGGGUGGGAGGGGCCUGGUGCAGCUGUUGGCUCAGCUAAAGGUUUAAUCUCCAAAACAGGAAGGCGUGUAUUGACACAAGCCACAGCCACAGACGGAACUGGGCCUCAGGCUUGCCAGGUUCAGCUCCCGGCCCCCCUCUGCCUCGUGCAAGGAGCUCCUCAGGGCCUCUGCCUCCUAAAGCUGGUGUGCCCAGCUUCCGGGAGCACCCACCCAUAUCACACCUCAGGAUUAAGUACCUCUCAGACUUCGUGGGCUCCAGGAUGGGGGUGGGAGGUGGGAUCUCGAGGCGUGAGGUGCAGGAAGGUAGAGGCCCUCCCUCCCCCAGCCUCAUUUUAUAAAUAAGGAAACCACAGAGGGCUUGGAGAAGGAAGUGGGCCAACCUGGGUCAUAACUGGAUGAGUGGGGUGGGGGCGUCUCAACCUUACCUGGGUGUGGCUCUGUGUAAACACACACACACAGAGACACACACACACACACACUAUCUGCCCAGCAGAGGGUUGGAUCCCAGAGAGUCCCCCUGUCUUCUGUCUGGUACACUUGGAGGGAAGUUGGACCCGAGUUGCUAUGUUGACAGUGGCAGGUGACAAUACACGUACUCAGCAGAGGAAGCAGGCGACGAGGCAAGACCGUGUUUUCAGACCCCAAGAAAACGGGAUUCGAAACCGAAAGCCUGGACCAGUGGGGGAACAUGACACCUUUCUCCUGGGAAGAGCCUAGGACCUCGGUAGAUCACCAGACAGGAGAGGAUGGGUGGAGCCACACCUUGACCAAGCCUGCUGAGCUCUGCAUGACUCUGAUCCUCUAGUGAAUCCUCUGUCUCACUUCAGGACUCACAUGGACUUGGGGUGGGAUGAGGGGGAGUCACACAAUCUCUUUGCCUGUUUUCUCAAUGUAGAUACAUUGAAUAAACCUCCUUCUCCUGCUUUUUA